rnacentral:rRNA from 1 species
CUACCCUUAUCACUUCACUGUCUCCCCACUUCUCCCUGUGGCCACAAGCCAACAACUCUCUCUCUCUACCUCCUCGGGUCGCCCCUCCUCUUCGUCUCCACAGCCGACGCGAGGUCUCGCACCCCCUCUCCCCACUCUUCUCCGCACUUCCUCGUCGAACCGGUCUCUGAAGUGCCCGAGGAUCUGCUCGAUUUCGGCAUGCUCGCUGGCUGACCCAGUGCUAGGCGUGGACGAAGGCCGACGCGGAGGCGCGGGACUCGUCUCCACCAGAUCGGCAGCUGUGGCAAUCGUGCAUCCGAAGCUCCGCGGCCCGGCUCCGUGCCUUCCUCUUCAUCUCGCUCGCCCGACGCUUGGAGCGUCUGCUCGUCGUCGGCUCCCACCACCCUGUG